ensembl:misc_RNA Metazoa_SRP Metazoan signal recognition particle RNA
GCCAGGUGCAGUGGUGUACACCUGUGGUCCUAGCUACUUGGGAGGCUGAGGUGGGAUGAUUGCUUGAGCCCAGGUGUUUGAGGCUGCAGUGAGCUAUGAUCUGUGUCACUGCAUUCUAGCCUGGGUGACAGAGUGAGACCCCAUCUCUA